GGGUUGUGAGGUUAAGCGACUAAGCGUACACGGUGGAUGCCCUGGCAGUCAGAGGCGAUGAAGGACGUGCUAAUCUGCGAUAAGCGUCGGUAAGGUGAUAUGAACCGUUAUAACCGGCGAUUUCCGAAUGGGGAAACCCAGUGUGAUUCGUCACACUAUCAUUAACUGAAUCCAUAGGUUAAUGAGGCGAACCGGGGGAACUGAAACAUCUAAGUACCCCGAGGAAAAGAAAUCAACCGAGAUUCCCCCAGUAGCGGCGAGCGAACGGGGAGCAGCCCAGAGCCUGAAUCAGUGUGUGUGUUAGUGGAAGCGUCUGGAAAGGCGCGCGAUACAGGGUGACAGCCCCGUACACAAAAAUGCACAUACUGUGAGCUCGAUGAGUAGGGCGGGACACGUGGUAUCCUGUCUGAAUAUGGGGGGACCAUCCUCCAAGGCUAAAUACUCCUGACUGACCGAUAGUGAACCAGUACCGUGAGGGAAAGGCGAAAAGAACCCCGGCGAGGGGAGUGAAAAAGAACCUGAAACCGUGUACGUACAAGCAGUGGGAGCACAGAGCAAUCUGUGUGACUGCGUACCUUUUGUAUAAUGGGUCAGCGACUUAUAUUCUGUAGCAAGGUUAACCGAAUAGGGGAGCCGAAGGGAAACCGAGUCUUAACUGGGCGUUAAGUUGCAGGGUAUAGACCCGAAACCCGGUGAUCUAGCCAUGGGCAGGUUGAAGGUUGGGUAACACUAACUGGAGGACCGAACCGACUAAUGUUGAAAAAUUAGCGGAUGACUUGUGGCUGGGGGUGAAAGGCCAAUCAAACCGGGAGAUAGCUGGUUCUCCCCGAAAGCUAUUUAGGUAGCGCCUCGUGAAUUCAUCUCCGGGGGUAGAGCACUGUUUCGGCAAGGGGGUCAUCCCGACUUACCAACCCGAUGCAAACUGCGAAUACCGGAGAAUGUUAUCACGGGAGACACACGGCGGGUGCUAACGUCCGUCGUGAAGAGGGAAACAACCCAGACCGCCAGCUAAGGUCCCAAAGUCAUGGUUAAGUGGGAAACGAUGUGGGAAGGCCCAGACAGCCAGGAUGUUGGCUUAGAAGCAGCCAUCAUUUAAAGAAAGCGUAAUAGCUCACUGGUCGAGUCGGCCUGCGCGGAAGAUGUAACGGGGCUAAACCAUGCACCGAAGCUGCGGCAGCGACGCUUAUGCGUUGUUGGGUAGGGGAGCGUUCUGUAAGCCUGUGAAGGUGUACUGUGAGGUAUGCUGGAGGUAUCAGAAGUGCGAAUGCUGACAUAAGUAACGAUAAAGCGGGUGAAAAGCCCGCUCGCCGGAAGACCAAGGGUUCCUGUCCAACGUUAAUCGGGGCAGGGUGAGUCGACCCCUAAGGCGAGGCCGAAAGGCGUAGUCGAUGGGAAACAGGUUAAUAUUCCUGUACUUGGUGUUACUGCGAAGGGGGGACGGAGAAGGCUAUGUUGGCCGGGCGACGGUUGUCCCGGUUUAAGCGUGUAGGCUGGUUUUCCAGGCAAAUCCGGAAAAUCAAGGCUGAGGCGUGAUGACGAGGCACUACGGUGCUGAAGCAACAAAUGCCCUGCUUCCAGGAAAAGCCUCUAAGCAUCAGGUAACAUCAAAUCGUACCCCAAACCGACACAGGUGGUCAGGUAGAGAAUACCAAGGCGCUUGAGAGAACUCGGGUGAAGGAACUAGGCAAAAUGGUGCCGUAACUUCGGGAGAAGGCACGCUGAUAUGUAGGUGAAGUCCCUCGCGGAUGGAGCUGAAAUCAGUCGAAGAUACCAGCUGGCUGCAACUGUUUAUUAAAAACACAGCACUGUGCAAACACGAAAGUGGACGUAUACGGUGUGACGCCUGCCCGGUGCCGGAAGGUUAAUUGAUGGGGUUAGCGCAAGCGAAGCUCUUGAUCGAAGCCCCGGUAAACGGCGGCCGUAACUAUAACGGUCCUAAGGUAGCGAAAUUCCUUGUCGGGUAAGUUCCGACCUGCACGAAUGGCGUAAUGAUGGCCAGGCUGUCUCCACCCGAGACUCAGUGAAAUUGAACUCGCUGUGAAGAUGCAGUGUACCCGCGGCAAGACGGAAAGACCCCGUGAACCUUUACUAUAGCUUGACACUGAACAUUGAGCCUUGAUGUGUAGGAUAGGUGGGAGGCUUUGAAGUGUGGACGCCAGUCUGCAUGGAGCCGACCUUGAAAUACCACCCUUUAAUGUUUGAUGUUCUAACGUUGACCCGUAAUCCGGGUUGCGGACAGUGUCUGGUGGGUAGUUUGACUGGGGCGGUCUCCUCCUAAAGAGUAACGGAGGAGCACGAAGGUUGGCUAAUCCUGGUCGGACAUCAGGAGGUUAGUGCAAUGGCAUAAGCCAGCUUGACUGCGAGCGUGACGGCGCGAGCAGGUGCGAAAGCAGGUCAUAGUGAUCCGGUGGUUCUGAAUGGAAGGGCCAUCGCUCAACGGAUAAAAGGUACUCCGGGGAUAACAGGCUGAUACCGCCCAAGAGUUCAUAUCGACGGCGGUGUUUGGCACCUCGAUGUCGGCUCAUCACAUCCUGGGGCUGAAGUAGGUCCCAAGGGUAUGGCUGUUCGCCAUUUAAAGUGGUACGCGAGCUGGGUUUAGAACGUCGUGAGACAGUUCGGUCCCUAUCUGCCGUGGGCGCUGGAGAAUUGAGGGGGGCUGCUCCUAGUACGAGAGGACCGGAGUGGACGCAUCACUGGUGUUCGGGUUGUCAUGCCAAUGGCACUGCCCGGUAGCUAAAUGCGGAAGAGAUAAGUGCUGAAAGCAUCUAAGCACGAAACUUGCCCCGAGAUGAGUUCUCCCUGACUCCUUGAGAGUCCUGAAGGAACGUUGAAGACGACGACGUUGAUAGGCCGGGUGUGUAAGCGCAGCGAUGCGUUGAGCUAACCGGUACUAAUGAACCGUGAGGCUUAACCUUACAACGCCGAAG
rnacentral:rRNA from 1 species